UGAAAGUUAAUAUCUCACGAUCCGAAAAAGAAAAGGCGGCAGUUUUCCCUCCCUUUUUUUUUUCUUUAUCUUUUACAUUUGAAAAAAAAAACAAAAAACAUUUGGGGCUAAGAUUUUCUUUCUUACAGAAACAAAAGAAAGAAAGCAAUUUAUUUCCUGGAAAUCACAGCUCACGGCGAUUACAAAAGGUUACUGCAUUCUCCCUCCUCAUCAAAAUCUUGUAGCUGAUGUUGGAAUAUUGGAUACUCGUUCUCUGAAGAGUCUUCGUUGGUGCACACUAAUUUGAUUUUGGUUUAUUAGCUCUGCUUUUGAAAAAAGAUACUGUUUAAUACUUUCCAAUGGAUAAAUCUUGGAUGGGAAUGCCAAGGAACACAGCGAAAUAUUUGCUUGGUUUGAAUCAGAUUCUAGAUUUUGCGUUUAAGAAUGGGAACGUACGAGAUAGAAUAAAAUGUCCAUGUCCGAAAUGUGGUUUUGCGAAGUGGCAAACUAGAGAUACAGUGUUCGAUCAUUUGGUUUGCAAGCCAUUCCCUAAAAAUUAUGUCACUUGGGUUAUGCAUGGUGAAAUGAAUGUUUUGCAUCCUUCUAGAGAUGCUGAAAUUCAGAAGAAACGGACAAAUCCACACACCGGUGGCUCCGAACCUAACUUUAGAAGAAAGCCUGUUGAGACUGGAGAAAAGCCUAGGUGUGGACAGCUUUACCCUGCUACUCAUAAGAAUCAAGAUGAAUCAUAUGUUAAUGAGGAGACAAGAGGCAUAUGUAAAAAAGUUGAGCUAGCUUUGAGACAAAGUACCACGGAUGAGCAUGAAGUGUCUUCAAAUGAUUAUGUUGGUAAAGUGCUAGGAAAUGAGCACCCUGGAACGGUGAGAUGCCUGGGAUUUGGAGCUGCUCCAAGCAGUAGUUGUAGACAGAAAAGACUUUGUCUUGGUGGUGUUAACUUUUCAUCCAAUAAUGAUGGUUCAUAUUUUCAUGAAUGCCAAGAGAAGUACAAUCAAUGCCAGGAGGCGUACAAUCAAUGCCAAGAGAGGUACAAUCAAUGCAAAGAGAAGUACAAUCAAUUGAUGAAUGCUUUGAAAGCAUACAUGAUAAUGAAGGAAGGGAAAAUACCUGAACAAUUUGCAGGGAUUUUUGAUUCUCCUCCUAUAACGCCAAAUGAUGCACCUACUGCUCCAUCCAUGGACGCAAGAUCAUCUGGUGGCAGUAAUUCCAGUGGUAGCAGCCAUUGAGGUUCAUUACAUUUUGAAUUGGAUGAAUUAGGUGUGAAUGAAUGAAUGAAGUGGGAAUUGUGUUUAAUUUAGUUUGAUGACUAUUAACGAAAAUACCUUAUGUGAAUGAAUGAUUAACAGUGCGGAUAAUCCCAUGGUAGCCCAAACGUAGGAAAAUCAUCCAUUCAACGUUGUCUUCUUUUAGUUGUUGCUGAAUUGGUGCCAUUAGCAUUAGUAGGAUUAAAAAAGUAUCAUCAGGUUGUUGAUGCUUAGAGAAGUUAACUGCUCUCAAUUUCUGCAGAUUAGUUACGGUCAGGCUAAAAACAGUGUAAAGCUGAGAAUAUAAAGCAGUAAAAAAUGCCCAUCUUGUAACUUGAAGCUGGGCAGAAUAGUUGUCUCAUGACUUAGAAGGGACUCUGUUGCUUGAUAAUGGAAUCCUAACCGCGAACAUUGGAAAGGGAUCAAGUUUGGCUUCUUCGUUAAUCCAUUUCAGAUGCCGAACAUAUUGGAGCUCUUUGCAUUUUGGAUCUUAACGUGUUUUCUAUUUGUGAUUUAUGCUCAAUCCUAUUCUUUUUCUUUUGCACCCUGUUAAAACCAUAGAAAGGUCCCACUCUUUUUCUUUUGUGGAAAUAAAAGA